rnacentral:rRNA from 1 species
AUUGAACGCUGGCGGCAUGCCUUACACAUGCAAGUCGAACGGCAGCACGGAGCUUGCUCUGGUGGCGAGUGGCGAACGGGUGAGUAAUAUAUCGGAACGUACCCUGGAGUGGGGGAUAACGUAGCGAAAGUUACGCUAAUACCGCAUACGAUCUAAGGAUGAAAGUGGGGGAUCGCAAGACCUCAUGCUCGUGGAGCGGCCGAUAUCUGAUUAGCUAGUUGGUAGGGUAAAAGCCUACCAAGGCAUCGAUCAGUAGCUGGCCUGAGAGGACGACCAGCCACACUGGAACUGAGACACGGUCCAGACUCCUACGGGAGGCAGCAGUGGGGAAUUUUGGACAAUGGGCGCAAGCCUGAUCCAGCAAUGCCGCGUGAGUGAAGAAGGCCUUCGGGUUGUAAAGCUCUUUUGUCAGGGAAGAAACGGUGAGGGCUAAUAUCCCUUGCUAAUGACGGUACCUGAAGAAUAAGCACCGGCUAACUACGUGCCAGCAGCCACGGUAAUACGUAGGGUGCAAGCGUUAAUCGGAAUUACUGGGCGUAAAGCGUGCGCAGGCGGUUUUGUAAGUCUGAUGUGAAAUCCCCGGGCUCAACCUGGGAAUUGCAUUGGAGACUGCAAGGCUAGAAUCUGGCAGAGGGGGGUAGAAUUCCACGUGUAGCAGUGAAAUGCGUAGAUAUGUGGAGGAACACCGAUGGCGAAGGCAGCCCCCUGGGUCAAGAUUGACGCUCAUGCACGAAAGCGUGGGGAGCAAACAGGAUUAGAUACCCUGGUAGUCCACGCCCUAAACGAUGUCUACUAGUUGUCGGGUCUUAAUUGACUUGGUAACGCAGCUAACGCGUGAAGUAGACCGCCUGGGGAGUACGGUCGCAAGAUUAAAACUCAAAGGAAUUGACGGGGACCCGCACAAGCGGUGGAUGAUGUGGAUUAAUUCGAUGCAACGCGAAAAACCUUACCUACCCUUGACAUGGCUGGAAUCCCCGAGAGAUUGGGGAGUGCUCGAAAGAGAACCAGUACACAGGUGCUGCAUGGCUGUCGUCAGCUCGUGUCGUGAGAUGUUGGGUUAAGUCCCGCAACGAGCGCAACCCUUGUCAUUAGUUGCUACGAAAGGGCACUCUAAUGAGACUGCCGGUGACAAACCGGAGGAAGGUGGGGAUGACGUCAAGUCCUCAUGGCCCUUAUGGGUAGGGCUUCACACGUCAUACAAUGGUACAUACAGAGCGCCGCCAACCCGCGAGGGGGAGCUAAUCGCAGAAAGUGUAUCGUAGUCCGGAUUGUAGUCUGCAACUCGACUGCAUGAAGUUGGAAUCGCUAGUAAUCGCGGAUCAGCAUGUCGCGGUGAAUACGUUCCCGGGUCU